rnacentral:rRNA from 1 species
AUUGAACGCUGGCGGCAUGCCUUACACAUGCAAGUCGAACGGUAACAGGCCUUCGGAUGCUGACGAGUGGCGAACGGGUGAGUAAUACAUCGGAACGUGCCUAGUAGUGGGGGAUAACUACUCGAAAGAGUGGCUAAUACCGCAUGCGAUCUACGGAUGAAAGCAGGGGAUCGCAAGACCUUGUGCUACUAGAGCGGCCGAUGGCAGAUUAGGUAGGUGGUGGGAUAAAAGCUUACCAAGCCGACGAUCUGUAGCUGGUCUGAGAGGACGAUCAGCCACACUGGGACUGAGACACGGCCCAGACUCCUACGGGAGGCAGCAGUGGGGAAUUUUGGACAAUGGGCGAAAGCCUGAUCCAGCAAUGCCGCGUGCAGGAUGAAGGCCUUCGGGUUGUAAACUGCUUUUGUACGGAACGAAAAGCCCUGGGUUAAUACCCUGGAUCAUGACGGUACCGUAAGAAUAAGCACCGGCUAACUACGUGCCAGCAGCCGCCGUAA